GGGGCCGGGAGGGGGCAAUUACGAAAGCCCCGCUGCAGCCUCCGGCGGGGCCGCCUGGACCCAGAGCCUUCUCCUGCACACACACUCGCGUUCACGCCCGCGCGCGCGCACACACAUACACACACACACACACACACACACUUUCCCCAUCCCUUUCCCGCUUUCCCUCUGUGGCUGCUCUCGCUGCUGGCCCCGUUCCCGCCAGAAAGUGCGAGGGGGCCUCUGCCAGGACGGCCCUCAGGAGAGGAAGCAGGAGGGAGGGCCCCCGCAGCCCGGCCAAAACUGCCGGCCCUCGCCAAGUCCUGAGUGGCCAGGCCCCCGCCCCUACGGCUGGGCCCGGGGCCCAGUGUGGGGACACAGGCCAGCUGUCUCGAGCCUCAGCCCCCACCCUGGCCCUCCAGACACCCCAGCACCCCAAGCCUGGCUAGAGAUCCACCCUGCCCAAAGCUGGGAUGGGGAGGUUGGGCAGGACAAGGGCGCAAUGUCUGCAGAGGUCGAGGGCCCCUGGGUAGAAAGACCGGCAAGGCUGGUGUUGUCUGGAGCACACAGGGGACAGCAUGGAGACCCUGGAAUGCUAUAAGGCUCCUUUCUGCAUGGGCCAAGGACUCAGUCUCCUGCCUGAAGCUGCAACAGGGUGUUGGACAGGUUUGUGGUGGAUAUCUGCAGAGGCCAGGAGACUGCAGUCAGGAGAACGGCCUGGGAGUGAAGGCCACGUUUACACUGUCCCCCGAGAUCUCUGGGGCAUGCAGGGGACCCUGACAUACGAGGUUCUAUUCUGCACCGGUUGAGGCCACAUUUCCAUACAGGUCAUAGUGUCUGGCAAAGGUCACUAUGGGGAACAGGGAGGUGGGAGCCCCACGCAUACUGACAGGCAUCCCAGUCUCCUCAUUGUCACUUGCUCAUCACCUUUCCCAAGGCUGAGCAGCACUGGUGUCCAGAUAAGACCCCAGAGCCCCAGACUCAGGACUGGCUCUCUGCUUCUGGGAGAAUGUCCAGGAUCGCCAUUCCUCCGGUGGCCAGCAGGGGGCGCCUGUGCUGAGCAGCUGGGGCAGCGGGCAGCAGAACCCUGAUGCUCUCCGCCUGAGCAGGUUGGGGCUCUGAGGGUUUUGGGGUGUGUGUAUGGUGGAUCAGGGGUCAUAUCCCCACCCCCAGCCCUCACUAGUGGGAAAUAGAUGUCGGAACCACAGGAUAGGACAGGAAGCUGUGCCCUAAGACACAGCCGGUCAGGGGACAGUCUGGACCAUGUCUUUGGGGCUUUCCCUGCACAGAGGGAUGAGUUAAUGCCCUUUGUCCAGCCAGGAACAUGGUGGCAGUCUGCAGGGCUGACAGGGAGUGGCCAGGAGGAAAGAGGUCCAACGUAGGUUUGGAACUCAGGUGGACCUGGGACUGAGUUCCAGCUGUGGCACUUUCUAGUGGGCUAACUUCUCCACAGGGUUCGAGUCUCCUCACCUCUCAGAGGGUGACAAAUGUCCCUGCCCAGGAAGAUGAUGGCAAAGGUAAAUUGAACAUGGUCAUCUACUUCUGCCUGUGCCUGCAGCUUUCAAAUGCACUCUGUACCCUCUGGUACCACUUGGACUGUCAUUGCUGCCAUCAGGUCUUCAAGAGCUGUUCCUGGUUUUAGCAUAGCUAUCAGGAUGGCUCUCUGCCAGGCCACCCUGGGAUCCCAGGCAAUCUCUGCCUCCCCCUGGUCUCUGGUCAAAGCAGCUCCGAAAUUUUGGGAGGUGCGGACACACUAGGAGAAUCAUCUUUAAACAUACAGUUCUACAUGGACUGGGAAAGAGGCUGGAGCCAGCGGGAGAAGAUUUGCUGUGAGGAUCCAGGAGAGGUGUACCAUCUAAGAAGGACACAGUUCUGGAUCUCUGCCCAGCUCUGAGAAUGUCAUUGCUCUGCUUAGAAACCCUCAGUAGCCCUUCAGAGAAACUCCAGAUCUCUGAGUGAGGACUUCCAACCCCAUAAGACCCAGCUCCACCCGCCCUGUCUCCUUCCUUCCUCCGACUGGCUCCGAAGCUGCUCUCUGGCCCCCAGGCUGAUCCUGGAGGUCUGGGUGGGGACCUGUGUUGGCGAUGUUCCCUGGUCUGGGCUUCCACCACCUCCGGGUCUACUCCCGUGCCCAGCAUCCCUGUCCUCUGGACCUCUCUGAGGGUCUUUAACAAAGUCCCCCUGGACUGAGCUUGGGGGCUUGCUCUUAUCCCCACCCUGGCCUGGCCAUCAUGGAAGGCAGUUGGUGGGUAACGCAUGUCUGUCUCCCCUCUCAUCCAAGAAUGUUGGAUUGUAAGUGCUGAUGAACCUUCUAGGAGAUGGGGACAGAUGCUGGAGUAGACAGAAUCCCUGGGGUGUGGCUUCUGUUUUCUUCCUUGUGAAUACAGGGUCCCAUCAUCCGUGAAACACAGGACGCGCUGCUGAGUGGGAUCCUGAGCUACAGAGAGGACAAUGGACUGUGGGGCUGUCCUAGGCAGAGGAGGGCUCAGCCAGACCUGGGACCCCAGUGGUGCUUCCUCCCAGGGCCACUGAAGAUGCUGCUGAGAGUCAUUUAUACCUCCGCAUGAGCCAAGGUCCCUCCAGCCAGCCCCAGAGGAAAGAGGAUCAAUGGUUCACUAAAAAGUAUUUCUCAUAUGAGCCCAAACUGAGGUUUGGGAAGGACAUGAAGGCUGGUUGGGGCAGCCCCUCCGGGACAGACUCAGUAGCGAGACAGGGUGAAGGACCUCAGGAUACAGCUUCCCGGCCCUCCUUGCCUUGUCCAUUAGACUCAGCUGCAGACAGUGAGGUUGGAAUCUCCCCUCCUCUGAUUCUAAACUUUCUAGUAGCUACGUAAAAGAAAACCUAAGUAAAACUGUGUGUGUGUGUGUGUUUGUGAGUGUGUGCAUGCACGUGUGGUCCUGGGGAUUGAACCCAGGUAUGCUGUACCUGGGGAUGAACCAUGUCCCCAGCCCUCUUUAUUUUUUUAUUUUGAGACAGGAUCUUGCUGAGUUGCUGAGGUUGGCCUUGAACUUGUGAUCCUCCUGCCUCAGCCUCCCAAGCAGCAGGGAUUACAGGUGUGCACCACCACACCUGGCAGUAUGUUAUGUUUAACCUAGAAUAUCUGAAAUAUUAUUUCAACCGCUAAUCCAUGUAAACAUUAUCGGCGAGAUAUUUUGCAUUCUUUUUUUGUAGCAAGU